rnacentral:rRNA from 1 species
CGGCGGACGGGUGAGUAACACGUGGAUAACCUACCUAUAAGGCUGGGAUAACUUCGGGAAACCGGAGCUAAUACCGGGUAAUAUAUUGAACCGCAUGGUUCAAUAGUGAAAGACGGUUUUGCUGUCACUUAUAGAUGGAUCCGCGCCGCAUUAGCUAGUUGGUAAGGUAACGGCUUACCAAGGCAACGAUGCGUAGCCGACCUGAGAGGGUGAUCGGCCACACUGGAACUGAGACACGGUCCAG